UGGGGAAUUUUGGACAAUGGGGGCAACCCUGAUCCAGCAAUGCCGCGUGAGUGAAGAAGGCCUUCGGGUUGUAAAGCUCUUUUGUCAGGGAAGAAACACCGGCUCUAACACAGUCCGGGAAUGACGGUACCUGAAGAAUAAGCACCGGCUAACUACGUGCCAGCAGCCGCGGUAAUACGUAGGGUGCGAGCGUUAAUCGGAAUUACUGGGCGUAAAGCGUGCGCAGGCGGUUAUACAAGACAGGCGUGAAAUCCCCGGGCUUAACCUGGGAAUGGCGCCUGUGACUGUAUAGCUAGAGUGUGUCAGAGGGGGGUAGAAUUCCACGUGUAGCAGUGAAAUGCGUAGAUAUGUGGAGGAAUACCAAUGGCGAAGGCAGCCCCCUGGG
rnacentral:rRNA from 1 species